GAAGCCGAUGACUUGUUGGAUGAGGUUGCCUAUGAAGCUCUGCGAUCGCAAUUCGAAGCUGGCUCACAAGCCAGCACAAUCCAGGUGCGAAACCGUUUGUAUUCUCUUAAUCCAUCUAAGAAAGGGAUGGAAAUGGAAGUAAAGUUAGAAGAGAUCCUUGAGAGGCUUGAAUAUUUGAUGAAACAAAAGGAUGCCCUUGGUUUGAAAGAGGGAAUAGGAGAAAAACCAUCCUUGGAAAAAAUACCAUCAACUUCUCUGGUAGAUGAAUCAUGUGUUUAUGGUAGGAAUGAUGAUAAAGAAGCCAUAGUGCAAUUGCUUCUAUCAGAUGAUGCAAUUGGUGGUGGUCUAUGUGUUAUUCCAAUAGUGGGUAUGGGUCGGGUUGGUAAAACAAACCUUGCUCAGCUCGUCUACAAUGAUGAUAGAGUUCAGGAGUGGUUUAAUCUCAAAUUAUGGGUUUCUGUUUCUGAAGAAUUUGAUGUCUCCAAAGUAACAAAAGAUAUCCUUGAGGAGAUAACUAAGAGGAAAUGUAAUGCCACAACUCUAAAUCAGCUUCAACUUGAGGUAAAGGAGAGAUUGGUGGAUAGAAAAUUUUUGCUUGUUUUAGAUGAUGUAUGGAACAAUAAGUAUGAUGACUGGGAUAUGUUGCGGUUGCCUUUGAAGUCUGGGGCACAUGGAAGUAAGAUCAUUGUUACAACUCGCAAUGGAAGUGUAGCAUCAAUCAUGGGAAAGUUUCAACUCAUCAUCAUCUAAAAGAAUUGACUGAUGAUGAUUGCUGUUUCUUGUUUGUGAAGCAUGCAUUUCAUGAUGGAAAUUUUACUUUACAUCCAAAUCUUGAAGUGUUUGGUAUAGAAAUAGUUAAGAAGUGCAAAUGUUUACCUUUAGCUGCAAAAAUAGUUGGAGGUCUCUUACGCACUAAAAGAGACUCCAAGGUAUAGGAAAAAAUAUCAAAGAGCAGCAUAUGGGAUUUGUCGAAUGAUAACAUGAUGCGUCCCACAUCGGCUCUGCAGAGAGGUCUUGAGUGCUAUAUAUAUGGGUUUGCAAGCCUCCCCUUGUGAGCUAACUUCUUGUGAGUGGGUUAUGUACAAAGGUUCCCUGACGUUAUUCGGAAGAGGUGGGGUGAACGAAUCAUGACCCUGUUUACUUCACGAAGUCAUUCAGUCUAAAGGGGUCGA
rnacentral:misc_RNA from 1 species